AGCGAACGCUGGCGGCAGGCUUAACACAUGCAAGUCGAGCGGGCGUAGCAAUACGUCAGCGGCAGACGGGUGAGUAACGCGUGGGAACGUACCUUUUGGUUCGGAACAACACAGGGAAACUUGUGCUAAUACCGGAUAAGCCCUUACGGGGAAAGAUUUAUCGCCGAAAGAUCGGCCCGCGUCUGAUUAGCUAGUUGGUGAGGUAACGGCUCACCAAGGCGACGAUCAGUAGCUGGUCUGAGAGGAUGAUCAGCCACAUUGGGACUGAGACACGGCCCAAACUCCUACGGGAGGCAGCAGUGGGGAAUAUUGGACAAUGGGGGCAACCCUGAUCCAGCCAUGCCGCGUGAGUGAUGAAGGCCCUAGGGUUGUAAAGCUCUUUUGUGCGGGAAGAUAAUGACGGUACCGCAAGAAUAAACCCCGGCUAACUUCGU
rnacentral:rRNA from 1 species